GACGAACGCUGGCGGCGUGCUUAACACAUGCAAGUCGAGCGGUAAGGCCCCUUCGGGGGUACACGAGCGGCGAACGGGUGAGUAACACGUGAGUAAUCUGCCCUUCACUUCGGGAUAACCGCCGGAAACGGCGGCUAAUACCGGAUACGACCAGCCCCUGCAUGGGGUGCUGGUGGAAAGUCUUGUCGGUGGAGGAUGUGCUCGCGGCCUAUCAGCUUGUUGGUGGGGUAACGGCCUACCAAGGCUUCGACGGGUAGCCGGCCUGAGAGGGUGACCGGCCACACUGGGACUGAGACACGGCCCAGACUCCUACGGGAGGCAGCAGUGGGGAAUAUUGGACAAUGGGCGAAAGCCUGAUCCAGCAACGCCGCGUGAGGGAUGACGGCCUUCGGGUUGUAAACCUCUUUCAGUACCGACGAAGCGCUCCUAGGAGUGGUGACGGUAGGUACAGAAGAAGGACCGGCCAACUACGUGCCAGCCGCCGCAGUAACAC
rnacentral:rRNA from 1 species